rnacentral:lncRNA from 1 species
AUGUUGUUCCUAUUUUUAAAACAAUGGUCUCCUUGGCAACUGUGUUUAACUCACAGGAUUUGUUCUGCUCCAGCUAGCCAGAGCAACUUAAAAGAAACAAACACCUUGAAACAGAACAAGAUCAGGAAAAUAAGGUCCAAGGGUCUUCUGAUUUUCAGUUCAGCAUCCUUUCCUCUGAAUCAUGCUGUCUUUCUUCCUUUUACCCUCACAGCUCUAACUCUUUAAGAAAAUUUUCUUUACCUGAAAUCUCAUUUUGCCUCUUGGCAAUUUUCCACUUAUGACUCCUACUGCUGCCCUUUGGAGCCAAGCAGAGAAAAUCUAAUUAAUCUCUCAGGUGAGAAACCUUUAAAUACUUGAAGAUGGCUAUCAUGUACCUUCUAAGGCUUUUCUAGCUCAUCCUUAGCAUCCCCAGGUCUUCAAACUGAUCCUCAUAUGGCAUGGACUUAAAGCCUUUUACUGUUUGGAUUGAUUUCUUCUAGAUGUUUUGAAGCAUCUUAUCAAUGUUCUUUCUAAAAUGUGGUAUGCAGUUAGGGUUUGAACAGUGCACAGUACUAUGGGGCUAUCACAGCCUGGGGGCUACACCCCUUUUAAGCAAACCCCAGAUUGCUUUAGCAUUUUUGAUUGCCAUUGACUUCUACUGAGCUUGCCAUCCACUAAACCCCUAUCUUUUCAGAUAAAUUGCCGUUCCCCCACCCACCCAGAUAAAUCAGGCCUCUCCUAUCUUAUGAAAUCAAUUUUAGCCCAUUUAUGAAACUUUCUAUUUGCCCCUCUUCACUUUUACUUUGCUGUUUCUAGCCUGUCAAGAGCUUUCUGGAUCCUGACUCUCUCCUCCAGUGAGUUGCCUAUUUCUUCUAGUUUUAUAUCAUUCAUAAAUCUGAUAAGGAAGUUAACUAUGUCUUAUCCAGGUUGUGCUUGAACUAGGUGACUCAUGGGAUAGUCAGACCUAGAGAUGGGAGAUCCUAGGUUCAAAUCUUGGCAAGUCAUUUAAUCCCAAGUGCCUAGCCCUUAUCACGCACUCUUCUGCCUUGGAACAAAUACUUAGUAUUGAUUCUAAGAUGGAAGGUAAGAGUCAAAAGAAAAUUACUGCAGGACUUUGUUAAUUUUGUCCAAGAUAACAUCUGUUUUUAUAUAUGUCUGCUUUAUCAUAUUUGUUGACUCUUACUGGUUUCUAGGGCAGUUGGUGACAUAGUACAUAGGACACUGAGUCAUGAACCAGGAAGACCUG